UACGGGGGGUGCGAGCGUUGUCCGGAAUCACUGGGUGUAAAGGGCGCGUAGGUGGUCUGAUAAGGGUGUGGUGAAAGCCCGGGGCUCAACCCCGGGUCGGCCGUGCCGACUGUUAGACUAGAGUGCUGUAGGGGCAGGCGGAAUUCCGGGUGUAGCGGUGGAAUGCGUAGAGAUCCGGAGGAAGACCGGUGGCGAAGGCGGCCUGCUGGGCAGUUACUGACACUGAGGCGCGACAGCGUGGGGAGCAAACAGG
rnacentral:rRNA from 1 species